UACGUAGGAAGCAAGCGUUGUCCGGAAUUACUGGGCGUAAAGCGUGCGUAGACGGUUAUGUAAGUCAGAUGUGAAAGCCCCGGGCUCAACCUGGGAAUUGCAUUUGAGACUGCAUAGCUAGGGUGCGGAAGAGGGAAGCGGAAUUUCCGGUGUAGCGGUGAAAUGCGUAGAUAUCGGAAGGAACACCAGUGGCGAAAGCGGCUUCCUGGUCCAGCACCGACGUUCAGGCACGAAAGCGUGGGGAGCAAACAGG
rnacentral:rRNA from 1 species